GUAGGUGAACCUGCGGAGGGAUC
rnacentral:rRNA from 2 species